rnacentral:rRNA from 1 species
AUUGAACGCUGGCGGAAUGCUUUACACAUGCAAGUCGAACGGCAGCACGGACUUCGGUCUGGUGGCGAGUGGCGAACGGGUGAGUAAUACAUCGGAACGUGCCCAGUCGUGGGGGAUAACGUAGCGAAAGCUACGCUAAUACCGCAUACGGUCUACGGAUGAAAGCGGGGGAUCGCAAGACCUCGCGCGAUUGGAGCGGCCGAUGGCAGAUUAGGUAGUUGGGGGGGUAAAGGCGCACCAAGCCGACGAUCUGUAGCUGGUCUGAGAGGACGACCAGCCACACUGGGACUGAGCCACGGCCCAGACUCCUACGGGAGGCAGCAGUGGGGAAUUUUGGACAAUGGGCGCAAGCCUGAUCCAGCCAUUCCGCGUGCAGGAUGAAGGCCCUCGGGUUGUAAACUGCUUUUGUACGGAACGAAAAGGCUCUGGUUAAUACCCGGGGCUCAUGACGGUACCGUAAGAAUAAGCACCGGCUAACUACGUGCCAGCCGCCGCAGUAAUAC